ensembl:lncRNA
UGGAACAAUGAUACCCCGAAGGCCUUGCCACCAGAYGUCUUUUUGAUAUGUGGUGACAGGGCCUGGCAGGGAAUUCCAAAAAACGUAAUGGGUGGUCCAUGUUAUCUUGGCAAAUUGACACUGCUGGCGCCAGAUAAAAAUUGGUGGAAAAAUAUAAUAGGGAACAAGGCUGCCACCCGUAGUAAACGGGCAGCCACAGGGCUUUCACCAGAUUGUAAUGAUAAGGUUACCCUACUCAGUCCUACUGAAAGAGUGUUUUUGUCUCUCUUCGUGCCUGGGGCAGCAGCAGGUAACGCCUUAAACCAAAUAGGACAAUUGGCUUGUUGGGCAGAGAAGCAAGCUAACGUCACCACUGAGGUAAUAGAGAGCCUGUUAGAGGACCAAAGUAGUCUGUGUCAUGCCGUUCUGCAAAAUAGGGCUGCAAUUGAUUUUUUGCUAUUAGCUCAAGGCCAUGGUUGUGAGGAUUUUGAAGGUAUGUGUUGCAUGAAUUUGUCUGAUCAUAGUGAAUCCAUUCACAAACAAUUACAGUGGUUGAAGGAGCACGCAAGUAAAAUCCGUCAGAACCAUGGGCCGUUAGACGAAUGGCUAACUAACCUGUUUGGAAAUCUACCACAGUGGCUAAUAGGGUUGCUUACUGAAGGCUUACGCAUAUUAAUAAUCCUUGUAGUCAUAGGUUUGUGUUCAUGUGUAGUAUUAAGCUGUGUUAAGAAAGCUCUGCUGAAAGUAGUGAACCAAGCCUGGAUUGCUCAAAAACAAGAAGGGGGAAUUGUGGAAGAAUGGUCAAGUGAAAAGGGGCAUGAUCUCUUAGAAGUGAGCAAUCCUGUCUUCACGAUGGAGGGAGGAUCCCACAUCUAUGCGAGCUGUCCUUGAACAGCACAAAAGAAGGAAGCUACAAGGAGGUAAACAAGUCGACAGACCUCUCCACGCGAACAACAAGCCUGCACCAAUCAUAUAUCCACUCUAGGCGCGUGAACAAAGAUUGUGAGCCAAUCAUAUAGCUAUCACUAUCACAUGCUCUUAUUGCCUGUSUAURU